rnacentral:rRNA from 1 species
AGUGAACGCUGGCGGUAGGCCUAACACAUGCAAGUCGAACGGCAGCACUGAGGAGCUUGCUCCUUGGGUGGCGAGUGGCGGACGGGUGAGGAAUACAUCGGAAUCUACUCUGUCGUGGGGGAUAACGUAGGGAAACUUACGCUAAUACCGCAUACGACCUACGGGUGAAAGCAGGGGAUCUUCGGACCUUGCGCGAUUGAAUGAGCCGAUGUCGGAUUAGCUAGUUGGCGGGGUAAAGGCCCACCAAGGCGACGAUCCGUAGCUGGUCUGAGAGGAUGAACAGCCAGACGGGAACUGAGACACGGUGCAGACUCCUACGGGAGGCAGCAGUGGGGAAUAUUGGACAAUGGGAGCAAGCCUGAUCCAGCCAUACCGCGUGGGUGAAGAAGGCCUUCGGGUUGUAAAGCCCUUUUGUUGGGAAAGAAAUCCAUCUGGUUAAUACCCGGGUGGGAUGACGGUACCCAAAGAAUAAGCACCGGCUAACUUCGUGCCAGCCGCCGCCGUAA